rnacentral:rRNA from 1 species
UACAGGGGGGGCAAGCGUUGUUCGGAAUUACUGGGCGUAAAGGGUUCGUAGGUGGCUUACUAAGUCAGACGUGAAAUCCCUCAGCUUAACUGGGGAACUGCGUCUGAUACUGGAAAGCUUGAGUGCAGGAGAGGAACGCGGAAUUCCAGGUGUAGCGGUGAAAAUGCGUAGAUAUCUGGAGGAACACCGGUGGCGAAGGCGGCGUUCUGGACUGUAACUGACACUGAUGAACGAAAGCCAGGGGAGCAAACGGG